GGUUAAGCGACUAAGCGUACACGGUGGAUGCCACGGCAGUCAGAGGCGAUGAAGGACGUGCUAAUCUGCGAUAAGCGUCGGUAAGGUGAUAUGAACCGUUAUAACCGGCGAUUUCCGAAUGGGGAAACCCAGUGUGUUUCGACACACUAUCAUUAACUGAAUCCAUAGGUUAAUGAGGCGAACCGGGGAACUGAAACAUCUAAGUACCCCGAGGAAAAGAAAUCAACCGAGAUUCCCCAGUAGCGGCGAGCGAACGGGGAGCAGCCCAGAGCCUGAAUCAGUGUGUGUGUUAGUGGAAGCGUCUGGAAAGGCGCGCGAUACAGGGUGACAGCCCCGUACACAAAAAUGCACAUGCUGUGAGCUCGAUGAGUAGGGCGGGACACGUGGUAUCCUGUCUGAAUAUGGGGGACCAUCCUCCAAGGCUAAAUACUCCUGACUGACCGAUAGUGAACCAGUACCGUGAGGGAAAGGCGAAAAGAACCCCGGCGAGGGGAGUGAAAAAGAACCUGAAACCGUGUACGUACAAGCAGUGGGAGCACGCUUAGGCGUGUGACUGCGUACCUUUUGUAUAAUGGGUCAGCGACUUAUAUUCUGUAGCAAGGUUAACCGAAUAGGGGAGCCGAAGGGAAACCGAGUCUUAACUGGGCGUUAAGUUGCAGGGUAUAGACCCGAAACCCGGUGAUCUAGCCAUGGGCAGGUUGAAGGUUGGGUAACACUAACUGGAGGACCGAACCGACUAAUGUUGAAAAAUUAGCGGAUGACUUGUGGCUGGGGGUGAAAGGCCAAUCAAACCGGGAGAUAGCUGGUUCUCCCCGAAAGCUAUUUAGGUAGCGCCUCGUGAAUUCAUCUCCGGGGGUAGAGCACUGUUUCGGCAAGGGGGUCAUCCCGACUUACCAACCCGAUGCAAACUGCGAAUACCGGAGAAUGUUAUCACGGGAGACACACGGCGGGUGCUAACGUCCGUCGUGAAGAGGGAAACAACCCAGACCGCCAGCUAAGGUCCCAAAGUCAUGGUUAAGUGGGAAACGAUGUGGGAAGGCCCAGACAGCCGGGAUGUUGGCUUAGAAGCAGCCAUCAUUUAAAGAAAGCGUAAUAGCUCACUGGUCGAGUCGGCCUGCGCGGAAGAUGUAACGGGGCUAAACCAUGCACCGAAGCUGCGGCAGCGACGCUUAUGCGUUGUUGGGUAGGGGAGCGUUCUGUAAGCCUGCGAAGGUGUGCUGUGAGGCAUGCUGGAGGUAUCAGAAGUGCGAAUGCUGACAUAAGUAACGAUAAAGCGGGUGAAAAGCCCGCUCGCCGGAAGACCAAGGGUUCCUGUCCAACGUUAAUCGGGGCAGGGUGAGUCGACCCCUAAGGCGAGGCCGAAAGGCGUAGUCGAUGGGAAACAGGUUAAUAUUCCUGUACUUGGUGUUACUGCGAAGGGGGACGGAGAAGGCUAUGUUGGCCGGGCGACGGUUGUCCCGGUUUAAGCGUGUAGGCUGGUUUUCCGGGCAAAUCCGGAAAAUCAAGGCUGAGGCGUGAUGACGAGGCACUACGGUGCUGAAGCAACAAAUGCCCUGCUUCCGGGAAAAGCCUCUAAGCAUCAGGUAACAUCAAAUCGUACCCCAAACCGACACAGGUGGUCAGGUAGAGAAUACCAAGGCGCUUGAGAGAACUCGGGUGAAGGAACUAGGCAAAAUGGUGCCGUAACUUCGGGAGAAGGCACGCUGAUAUGUAGGUGAGGUCCCUCGCGGAUGGAGCUGAAAUCAGUCGAAGAUACCAGCUGGCUGCAACUGUUUAUUAAAAACACAGCACUGUGCAAACACGAAAGUGGACGUAUACGGUGUGACGCCUGCCCGGUGCCGGAAGGUUAAUUGAUGGGGUUAGCGCAAGCGAAGCUCUUGAUCGAAGCCCCGGUAAACGGCGGCCGUAACUAUAACGGUCCUAAGGUAGCGAAAUUCCUUGUCGGGUAAGUUCCGACCUGCACGAAUGGCGUAAUGAUGGCCGGGCUGUCUCCACCCGAGACUCAGUGAAAUUGAACUCGCUGUGAAGAUGCAGUGUACCCGCGGCAAGACGGAAAGACCCCGUGAACCUUUACUAUAGCUUGACACUGAACAUUGAGCCUUGAUGUGUAGGAUAGGUGGGAGGCUUAGAAGUGUGGACGCCAGUCUGCAUGGAGCCGACCUUGAAAUACCACCCUUUAAUGUUUGAUGUUCUAACGUUGACCCGUAAUCCGGGUUGCGGACAGUGUCUGGUGGGUAGUUUGACUGGGGCGGUCUCCUCCUAAAGAGUAACGGAGGAGCACGAAGGUUGGCUAAUCCUGGUCGGACAUCAGGAGGUUAGUGCAAUGGCAUAAGCCAGCUUGACUGCGAGCGUGACGGCGCGAGCAGGUGCGAAAGCAGGUCAUAGUGAUCCGGUGGUUCUGAAUGGAAGGGCCAUCGCUCAACGGAUAAAAGGUACUCCGGGGAUAACAGGCUGAUACCGCCCAAGAGUUCAUAUCGACGGCGGUGUUUGGCACCUCGAUGUCGGCUCAUCACAUCCCGGGGCUGAAGUAGGUCCCAAGGGUAUGGCUGUUCGCCAUUUAAAGUGGUACGCGAGCUGGGUUUAGAACGUCGUGAGACAGUUCGGUCCCUAUCUGCCGUGGGCGCUGGAGAACUGAGGGGGCUGCUCCUAGUACGAGAGGACCGGAGUGGACGCAUCACUGGUGUUCGGGUUGUCAUGCCAAUGGCACUGCCCGGUAGCUAAAUGCGGAAGAGAUAAGUGCUGAAAGCAUCUAAGCACGAAACUUGCCCCGAGAUGAGUUCUCCCUGACCCUUUAAGGGUCCUGAAGGAACGUUGAAGACGACGACGUUGAUAGGCCGGGUGUGUAAGCGCAGCGAUGCGUUGAGCUAACCGGUACUAAUGAACCGUGAGGCUUAACCUU
rnacentral:rRNA from 1 species